rnacentral:lncRNA from 1 species
AGCCCAACAUCUCCUAGCUACAGUCCUACAUCACCAAGCUACAGCCCUACAUCUCCUAGCUAUAGUCCUACAUCACCAAGCUACAGCCCCACCUCGCCGGUUUAUAGUCCAACCUCGCCGGCAUAUAGCCCUACCUCUCCUGCAUACAGCCCCACAUCCCCCUCUUAUAGCCCAACAUCCCCGUCUUACAGCCCUACGUCGCCUUCAUACAGCCCUACAUCUCCUUCAUACAGCCCUACAUCCCCAUCAUACAGUCCUACCUCCCCCUCGUACAGCCCAACAUCACCUGCAUACAGCCCUACCUCGCCUGGAUACAGCCCAACAUCACCAAGUUACAGCCCGACAUCUCCGAGCUACAGUCCUACUUCUCCGAGCUACAAUCCUUCAUCAGCCAAAUACAGCCCUUCGCAUGCUUACUCUCCAAGCAGUCCAAGGAUGACUCCAUACAGUCAGACCUCUCCGAACUACAG